GACGAACGCUGGCGGCGUGCUUAAUACAUGCAAGUCGAACGGUGAUGCUCCAGCUUGCUGGAGUGGAUCAGUGGCGAACGGGUGAGUAACACGUGAGCAACCUGCCCCAGACUCUGGAAUAAGCGCUGGAAACGGCGUCUAAUACUGGAUACGAAACUGGCCCGCAUGGGCAUGGUUUGGAAAGUUUUUCGGUUUGGGAUGGGCUCGCGGCCUAUCAGCUUGUUGGUGAGGUAAUGGCUCACCAAGGCGACGACGGGUAGCCGGCCUGAGAGGGCGACCGGCCACACUGGGACUGAGACACGGCCCAGACUCCUACGGGAGGCAGCAGUGGGGAAUAUUGCACAAUGGGCGAAAGCCUGAUGCAGCGACGCCGCGUGAGGGAUGACGGCCUUCGGGUUGUAAACCUCUUUCAGCAGGGAAGAAGCGAAAGUGACGGUACCUGCAGAAGAAGCACCGGCUAACUACGUG
rnacentral:rRNA from 1 species